UGUGGGAGCUGGCUUGCCUGCGAUGACGUUGGCACAUUCAACAUUGAUGUGCCUGGUAAACCGCUAUCGCAGGCAAGCCAGCUCCCACA
rnacentral:antisense_RNA from 1 species